rnacentral:rRNA from 1 species
GCAAGUCGAGCGAAUGGAUUGAGAGCUUGCUCUCAAGAAGUUAGCGGCGGACGGGUGAGUAACACGUGGGUAACCUGCCCAUAAGACUGGGAUAACUCCGGGAAACCGGGGCUAAUACCGGAUAACAUUUUGAACUGCAUGGUUCGAAAUUGAAAGGCGGCUUCGGCUGUCACUUAUGGAUGGACCCGCGUCGCAUUAGCUAGUUGGUGAGGUAACGGCUCACCAAGGCAACGAUGCGUAGCCGACCUGAGAGGGUGAUCGGCCACACUGGGACUGAGACACGGCCCAGACUCCUACGGGAGGCAGCAGUAGGGAAUCUUCCGCAAUGGACGAAAGUCUGACGGAGCAACGCCGCGUGAGUGAUGAAGGCUUUCGGGUCGUAAAACUCUGUUGUUAGGGAAGAACAAGUGCUAGUUGAAUAAGCUGGCACCUUGACGGUACCUAACCAGAAAGCCACGGCUAACUACGUGCCAGCAGCCGCGGUAAUACGUAGGUGGCAAGCGUUAUCCGGAAUUAUUGGGCGUAAAGCGCGCGCAGGUGGUUUCUUAAGUCUGAUGUGAAAGCCCACGGCUCAACCGUGGAGGGUCAUUGGAAACUGGGAGACUUGAGUGCAGAAGAGGAAAGUGGAAUUCCAUGUGUAGCGGUGAAAUGCGUAGAGAUAUGGAGGAACACCAGUGGCGAAGGCGACUUUCUGGUCUGUAACUGACACUGAGGCGCGAAAGCGUGGGGGAGCAAACAGGAUUAGAUACCCUGGUAGUCCACGCCGUAAACGAUGAGUGCUAAGUGUUAGAGGGUUUCCGCCCUUUAGUGCUGAAGUUAACGCAUUAAGCACUCCGCC